GCCUGGGUGGCUUAGUGGUUGAGCACCUGCCUUCAGCUCAGGGUGUGAUCCUGAAGUCCUGGGAUCGAGCCCCACAUCAGGCU
rnacentral:tRNA from 1 species